rnacentral:rRNA from 1 species
AUUGAACGCUGGCGGCAGGCCUAAUACAUGCAAGUCGAACGGCAGCACAGCAGAGCUUGCUCUGUGGGUGGCGAGUGGCGGACGGGUGAGGAAUACAUGGGAAUCUGCCCAGUCGUGAGGGAUAACGUAGGGAAACUUACGCUAAUAUCGCAUGCGCCCUUCGGGGGAAAGCCGGGGACCUUCGGGCCUGGCGCGAUUGGAUGAGCCCAUGUCGGAUUAGCUAGUUGGCGGGGUAACGGCCAACCAAGGCGACGAUCCGUAGCUGGUCUGAGAGGAUGAUCAGCCACACUGGAACUGAGACACGGUCCAGACUCCUACGGGAGGCAGCAGUAGGGAAUAUUGGACAAUGGGCGCAAGCCUGAUCCAGCCAUGCCGCGUGAGUGAAGAAGGCCUUCGGGUUGUAAAGCUCUUUUGUCCGGAAAGAAAAGCUUCGGGUUAAUACCCCAGGAGUCCUGACGGUACCGGAAGAAUAAGCACCGGCUAACUUCGUGCCAGCCGCCGCCGUAA